ensembl:lncRNA
UCGGGACGGCCGGGGCAGAAAUGGAAUAUUCUUUUAAAUUUAGUGAUUUUCAUUCUCAUCAAGCCGUCCGUCAGAAAUACAGUGGUGACACUGCCAUCUAGUGGUUAGACGGCGCUACUGCGGAGAACACAGAUCGACCAGAAAGAGAAGACAAACCCGAACUCAAACUCCCAGCAUUCAUGAGGUUUUCUCUGGCGUCUCUUUUCCCCUAGGCAUGCGCAGUAAAGUUCCUUGUCUAUCUGGCCAGUACAUUUCCCAAACCCCAGUGACAUCUCCUCUGUUGUCUCUGUUGCUCUAAAGUCAGAUGUGGACAUUAUGAGAGAAGAGAGAGACGGAGAGAUGAGAGAAGGAGAGAAGAGAGAGACGGAGAGAUGAGAGAAGGAGAGAAGAGAGAGACGGAGGAUAAACAAUGACAGCUAGAUGGAGCUAACAGAGGCCGGGGUGGCUGGCCUGCUCCAGGAGUCUGAGGUGCGGGAGGUUCCUCCGCCCCCUCUGGACAUCGAGGUGGCCCUGGUGUACUCCGUUCGCUCCAUACUGGAUUCGAGGCAUCGGGCGAGGGGCCUUCAGUAACUCGUGGAGUGGGAGGGGUGCAGUCCGGAGGAGAGGUGCUGGGUUCCGGUCGAGGACGUGUUGGACCCUUCAAUGCUGCAGGAGUUCCACCAUCUCCAUCCGGUUCACUCUGCGCCUCACCUUCCGGGUCAUCCCCAAGGGCGGUGUCGUCAAGCGGGGGCUACUGUCACGACUUCCACCGAAGUCGGUUCCUCUCCUUGCUCGGGCGGCGCUCGGCGUCGCCGGGCUUCUAGCCAUCAUCGAUCCACUUUUAAUUUUCCUUUUGUUUUGUCUCGUCUUCCCACACACCUGGUCUCAAUUCCCUCAUUACAUGUUGUGUAUUUAACCCUCUGUUCCCCCCAUGUCUUUGUGAGGAAUUGUUUAUUGUAAGUGCAUGUGCACGUUUUCUCUGGUGCACGACGGGUUUUGUACCCAUUUGUCUGUUGUUCUGGUUUCCGGUGGUUUUAUGAAUAAAACUUCUCUGUUGAUUACCCA